AGAGUUUGAUCAUGGCUCAGGACGAACGCUGGCGGCACGCUUAACACAUGCAAGUCGAACGAGAGAAGAGGAGCUUGCUUUUCUGAUCUAGUGGCGGACGGGUGAGUAACACGUGAGCAAUCUGCCUUUCAGAGGGGGAUACCGAUUGGAAACGAUCGUUAAUACCGCAUAACAUAAUUGAACCGCAUGAUUUGAUUAUCAAAGAUUUAUCGCUGAAAGAUGAGCUCGCGUCUGAUUAGCUAGUUGGUAAGGUAACGGCUUACCAAGGCGACGAUCAGUAGCCGGACUGAGAGGUUGAUCGGCCACAUUGGGACUGAGACACGGCCCAGACUCCUACGGGAGGCAGCAGUGGGGAAUAUUGCACAAUGGAGGAAACUCUGAUGCAGCGAUGCCGCGUGAGGGAAGAAGGUUUUAGGAUUGUAAACCUCUGUCUUCAGGGACGAAAAAAGACGGGACCUGAGGAGGAAGCUCCGGCUAACUACGUGCCAGCAGCCGCGGUAAUACGUAGGGAGCGAGCGUUGUCCGGAAUUACUGGGUGUAAAGGGAGCGUAGGCGGGAUCGCAAGUCAGAUGUGAAAACUAUGGGCUUAACCCAUAAACUGCAUUUGAAACUGUGGUUCUUGAGUGAAGUAGGGGUAAGCGGAAUUCCUAGUGUAGCGGUGAAAUGCGUAGAUAUUAGGAGGAACAUCAGUGGCGAAGGCGGCUUACUGGGCUCUAACUGACGCUGAGGCUCGAAAGCGUGGGGAGCAAACAGGAUUAGAUACCCUGGUAGUCCACGCCGUAAACGAUGAUUACUAGGUGUGGGGGGACUGACCCCUUCCGUGCCGCAGCAAACGCAAUAAGUAAUCCACCUGGGGAGUACGACCGCAAGGUUGAAACUCAAAGGAAUUGACGGGGGCCCGCACAAGCAGUGGAGUAUGUGGAUUAAUUCGAAGCAACGCGAAGAACCUUACCAGGUCUUGACAUCGUAUGCAUAGCUCAGAGAUGAGUGAAAUCUCUUCGGAGACAUAUAGACAGGUGGUGCAUGGUUGUCGUCAGCUCGUGUCGUGAGAUGUUGGGUUAAGUCCCGCAACGAGCGCAACCCUUACUGUUAGUUGCUACGCAAGAGCACUCUAGCAGGACUGCCGUUGACAAAACGGAGGAAGGUGGGGAUGACGUCAAAUCAUCAUGCCCCUUAUGACCUGGGCCUCACACGUACUACAAUGGCUGUCAACAGAGGGAAGCAAAGCCGCGAGGUGGAGCGAACCCCUAAAAGCAGUCUUAGUUCGGAUUGUAGGCUGCAACCCGCCUACAUGAAGUCGGAAUUGCUAGUAAUCGCAGAUCAGCAUGCUGCGGUGAAUACGUUCCCGGGCCUUGUACACACCGCCCGUCACGCCAUGGGAGUCGGUAACACCCGAAGCCUGUAGUCUAACCGCAAGGAGGACGCAGUCGAAGGUGGGAUUGAUGACUGGGGUGAAGUCGUAACAAGGUA
rnacentral:rRNA from 1 species